UCAGGAAUAUUGGACAAUGGGCGCAAGCCUGAUCCAGCCAUGCCGCGUGAAGGAUUAAGGUCCUCUGGAUUGUAAACUUCUUUUAUAAGGGACGAAAAAAGGGAAUUCUUUCUCACUUGACGGUACCUUAUGAAUAAGCACCGGCUAACUCCGUGCCAGCAGCCGCGGUAAUACGGAGGGUGCAAGCGUUAUCCGGAUUCACUGGGUUUAAAGGGUGCGUAGGCGGGUAUUUAAGUCAGUGGUGAAAUCCUAGAGCUUAACUCUAGAACUGCCAUUGAUACUAUUUAUCUUGAAUAUUGUGGAGGUAAGCGGAAUAUGUCAUGUAGCGGUGAAAUGCUUAGAUAUGACAUAGAACACCUAUUGCGAAGGCAGCUUACUACGCAUAUAUUGACGCUGAGGCACGAAAGCGUGGGGAUCAAACAGG
rnacentral:rRNA from 1 species